rnacentral:rRNA from 1 species
GACGAACGCUGGCGGCGUGCUUAACACAUGCAAGUCGAACGGAAAGGCCCUGCUUUUGUGGGGUGCUCGAGUGGCGAACGGGUGAGUAACACGUGAGUAACCUGCCCUUGACUUUGGGAUAACUUCAGGAAACUGGGGCUAAUACCGGAUAGGAGCUCCUGCUGCAUGUGGUGGGUUGGAAAGUUUCGGCGGUUGGGGAUGGACUCGCGGCUUAUCAGCUUGUUGGUGGGGUAGUGGCUUACCAAGGCUUUGACGGGUAGCCGGCCUGAGAGGGUGACCGGCCACAUUGGGACUGAGAUACGGACCAGACUCCUACGGGAGGCAGCAGUGGGGAAUAUUGCACAAUGGGCGGAAGCCUGAUGCAGCAACGCCGCGUGCGGGAUGACGGCCUUCGGGUUGUAAACCGCUUUCGCCUGUGACGAAGCGUGAGUGACGGUAAUGGGUAAAGAAGCACCGGCUAACUACGUG